rnacentral:rRNA from 1 species
UACAGAGGUCUCAAGCGUUGUUCGGAUUCAUUGGGCGUAAAGGGUGCGUAGGCGGCGCGGUAAGUCGGGUGUGAAAUCUUGGAGCUUAACUCCGAAACUGCAUUCGAUACUGCCGUGCUUGAGGACUGGAGAGGAGACUGGAAUUUACGGUGUAGCGGUGAAAUGCUUAGAUAUGACAUAGAACACCAAUUGCGCAGGCAGCUUACUACACAGUAAUUGACACUGAGGCACGAAAGCGUGGGGAGCAAACAGG